UACGAAGGGGGCUAGCGUUGUUCGGAAUCACUGGGCGUAAAGCGCACGUAGGCGGAUCUUUAAGUCAGGGGUGAAAUCCCGAGGCUCAACCUCGGAACUGCCUUUGAUACUGGGGAUCUCGAGUCCGGGAGAGGUGAGUGGAACUGCGAGUGUAGAGGUGAAAUUCGUAGAUAUUCGCAAGAACACCAGUGGCGAAGGCGGCUCACUGGCCCGGUUCUGACGCUGAGGCGCGAAAGCGUGGGGAGCAAACAGG
rnacentral:rRNA from 1 species